rnacentral:rRNA from 1 species
GACGAACGCUGGCGGCGUGCUUAACACAUGCAAGUCGAGCGGUAAGGCCCUUUCGGGGGUACACGAGCGGCGAACGGGUGAGUAACACGUGGGUGACCUGCCCUUAGCUCUGGGAUAAGCCUGGGAAACUGGGUCUAAUACCGGAUAUGACUCCAUAACGCAUGUUGUGGGGUGGAAAGCCUUGUGCGGCUAGGGGAUGGGCCCGCGGCCUAUCAGCUUGUUGGUGGGGUGAUGG